AGCUGGUUCUCCCCGAAAGCUAUUUAGGUAGCGCCUCGUGAACUCAUCUUCGGGGGUAGAGCACUGUUUCGGCUAGGGGGUCAUCCCGACUUACCAACCCGAUGCAAACUACGAAUACCGAAGAAUGUUAUCACGGGAGACACACGGCGGGUGCUAACGUCCGUCGUGAAGAGGGAAACAACCCAGACCGCCAGCUAAGGUCCCAAAGUCAUGGUUAAGUGGGAAACGAUGUGGGAAGGCACAGACAGCCAGGAUGUUGGCUUAGAAGCAGCCAUCAUU
rnacentral:rRNA from 1 species